UACGUAGGGGGCUAGCGUUGUCCGGAUUUAUUGGGCGUAAAGAGCGUGUAGGCGGCCAAGCAGGUCCGCUGUGAAAACUCGAGGCUCAACCUCGAGACGUCGGUGGAAACCGUUUGGCUAGAGUCCGGAAGAGGAGAGUGGAAUUCCCGGUGUAGCGGUGAAAUGCGUAGAGAUCGGGAAGAACAUCGGUGGCGAAAGCGCUCUACCGGGCCAUAACUGACACUCAGGGACGAAAGCUAGGGGAGCGAAUGGG
rnacentral:rRNA from 1 species